rnacentral:rRNA from 1 species
AUUGAACGCUAGCGGGAUGCCUUACACAUGCAAGUCGAACGAGUGGCGGACGGGUGAGUAAUAUAUCGGAACGUGCCCAGUAGCGGGGGAUAACUACUAGAAAUAGUAGCUAAUACCGCAUACUAUUGUAGCGGCCGAUAUAGGAUGAGCUAGUUGGUGGGGUACAGGCUCACCAAGGCAACGAUCCGUAGCUGGUUUGAGGGGACGACCAGCAACACUGGGACGGAGAAACGGCCCAGACUCCUACGUGAGGCAGCAGUGGGGAAUUUUGGACAAUGGGUGAAACCCUGAUCCAGACAUCCCGGUUGUAUGAGAAGGCCUUCGGGUGGUAAAGUACUUUUGGCAGAGAAGCGGUAUCUGCAGAAUAAGCACCGGCUAACUACGUGCCAGCAGCCGCGGUAAUUC